rnacentral:rRNA from 1 species
UACAGAGGUCUCAAGCGUUGUUCGGAUUCAUUGGGCGUAAAGGGUGCGUAGGUGGCGCCGUAAGUCAGGUGUGAAAUUUCGGAGCUUAACUCCGAAACUGCAUUUGAUACUGCGGUGCUUGAGGACUGGAGAGGAGACUGGAAUUUACGGUGUAGCAGUGAAAUGCGUAGAGAUCGUAAGGAAGACCAGUGGCGAAGGCGGGUCUCUGGACAGUUCCUGACACUGAGGCACGAAAGGCCAGGGGAGCAAACGGG